rnacentral:tRNA from 2 species
GGGCGUGUAGCUCAGCUGGUUAGAGCACCACCUUGACAUGGUGGGGGUCGUUGGUUCGAGUCCAAUCGCGCCUACCA